rfam:Ophiophagus hannah scaffold9257.1, whole genome shotgun sequence.
UAGGUUAAAGUCCGCCGGUUUGGACGGCUAGCUGUUAAUUAGUUGUUUGUGGGAUCGAGGCCCACUAAUCUAG